rnacentral:rRNA from 1 species
GUGGGGAAUAUUGGACAAUGGGCGAAAGCCUGAUCCAGCCAUGCCGCGUGUGUGAAGAAGGUCUUCGGAUUGUAAAGCACUUUAAGUUGGGAGGAAGGGUAGUAACCUAAUACGUUGCUACUUUGACGUUACCGACAGAAUAAGCACCGGCUAACUUCGUGCCAGCAGCCGCGGUAAUACGAAGGGUGCAAGCGUUAAUCGGAAUUACUGGGCGUAAAGCGCGCGUAGGUGGUUCAGUAAGUUGGAAGUGAAAUCCCCGGGCUCAACCUGGGAACUGCUUUAAAAACUGCUGAGCUAGAGUACGGUAGAGGGUGGUGGAAUUUCCUGUGUAGCGGUGAAAUGCGUAGAUAUAGGAAGGAACACCAGUGGCGAAGGCGACCACCUGGACUGAUACUGACACUGAGGUGCGAAAGCGUGGGGAGCAAACAGGAUUAGAAACCCCUGUAGUCC